GACGAACGCUGGCGGCGUGCUUAACACAUGCAAGUCGAACGGAAAGGCCCUGCAUUUGUGGGGUGCUCGAGUGGCGAACGGGUGAGUAACACGUGAGUAACCUGCCCUUGACUUUGGGAUAACUUCAGGAAACUGGGGCUAAUACCGGUUAGGAGCUCCUGCUGCAUGGUGGGGGUUGGAAAGUUUCGGCGGUUGGGUAUGGACUCGCGGCUUAUCAGCUUGUUGGUGGGGUAGUGGCUUACCAAGGCUUUGACGGGUAGCCGGACUGAGAGGGUGACCGGCCACAUUGGGACUGAGGUGCGGCCCGUGCUCCUUCGGGAGGCAGCAGUGGGGAAUAUUGCACGAUAGGCGGAAGCCUGAUGCAGCGACGCCGCGUGCGGGAUGACGGCCAUCGGGUUGUAAACCGCUUUCGCCUGUGACGAAGCGUGAGUGACGGUAAUGGGUAAAGAAGCCCCGGCUAACUACGUG
rnacentral:rRNA from 1 species